GCUCAGGAUGAACGCUAGCGGCAGGCCUAACACAUGCAAGUCGAGGGGUAACAUUGUGCUUGCACAGAUGACGACCGGCGCACGGGUGCGUAACGCGUAUAGAAUCUACCUUUUGCUGCAGGAUAGCCCAGAGAAAUUUGGAUUAAUACUGCAUAGUAUACACUACUUUCAUGAGUUAUGUAUUAAAGGUUACGGCAAAAGAUGACUAUGCGUCCUAUUAGCUAGAUGGUAAGGUAACGGCUUACCAUGGCAACGAUAGGUAGGGGCCCUGAGAGGGGGAUCCCCCACACUGGUACUGAGACACGGACCAGACUCCUACGGGAGGCAGCAGUGAGGAAUAUUGGACAAUGGAGGCAACUCUGAUCCAGCCAUGCCGCGUGCAGGAUGACUGCCCUAUGGGUUGUAAACUGCUUUUAUACAGGAAGAAACACUGCUACGUGUAGCAGCUUGACGGUACUGUAAGAAUAAGGAUCGGCUAACUCCGUGCCAGCAGCCGCGGUAAUACGGAGGAUCCAAGCGUUAUCCGGAAUCAUUGGGUUUAAAGGGUCCGUAGGUGGAUAAUUAAGUCAGAGGUGAAAGUUUGCAGCUCAACUGUAAAAUUGCCUUUGAUACUGGUUAUCUUGAAUCAUUAUGAAGUGGUUAGAAUAUGUAGUGUAGCGGUGAAAUGCAUAGAUAUUACAUAGAAUACCAAUUGCGAAGGCAGAUCACUAAUAAUGUAUUGACACUGAUGGACGAAAGCGUGGGGAGCGAACAGGAUUAGAUACCCUGGUAGUCCACGCCGUAAACGAUGGAUACUAGCUGUUCGGAACUUGUUUCUGAGUGGCUAAGCGAAAGUGAUA
rnacentral:rRNA from 1 species